GUCCACGCCGUAAACGAUGGGUGCUAGGUGUUGCGGGCUUUGACCCCUGCAGUGCCGUAGCUAACGCAUUAAGCACCCCGCCUGGGGAGUACGGCCGCAAGGCUAAAACUCAAAGGAAUUGACGGGGGCCCCGCACAAGCGGUGGAGCAUGCGGUUCAAUUCGACGCAACGCGCAGAACCUUACCUGGGCUAGAAAAUGCAAGGACCUGGUCGAAAGAUCGGGGUGCUCUUCGGAGAGCUUGUAGUUAGGUGCUGCAUGGCUGUCGU
rnacentral:rRNA from 1 species